rnacentral:lncRNA from 1 species
ACUCGGCGAGUCCAUGCCAUGCAACCGCUCAAACUGCUUUCUAAGGUCAGAACUGCUCCGACCAUUCAUAGGUCUGGCCUUCCUAGACUGAUUCAUCACGUAAGGUCCUCAUUUCGGUGCUCAUAAUACACCCCAUGACUCAUAAUUUACAUUUUGACCUAAGGCAUAAGGAUUCCAAUCCAAAACCUCCAUUAAUUCCCGAAAUGCUCAGGCAUGGGACAUUCUGGACUUCCAAAGGUCCCAAUACAGGGUUCCAAUCGUUUGGGGGACUAAGGUAACAUUCAAUCUAGCCACAAAAGGGUUCCAUAAACCCUAAAUCCAUAUACACAUCAACAUAGCAGAGUAUAACUCGAAUUCUUACCUGAAUAAUGUGCUCUCUGUGUCCCCAAUCCUCAGAACGUGACUUCCCUUGUUGCUCCCUUAAUCAAGCCUUCUCUUCCUUGCACAAUAACUCUUCUAAAAUCAACAAUGGCCUUCAACCUUGCUCCAGACGCUCACAAUCAAUUUAGGGUUUCUCUCAGAAGGCUAGAGUGAACAAUGACGGCCAUAAAGUCCCUCAUAUACGUCCCAAACCUGAACGGUUAGGGUUUCGCUAAACAGCGUGGACUCGCCGAGUCCAUAUCCGGACUCGUCGAGUCCAGUCGCGAACCCGCGACCAGAUCUGCGAUCCUACUCGGCGAGUCUGAGCUCCAACUCGCCGAGUCCCCUCUUAAAACACCCAAAAUCAUAAUUAUAGCAAUAUCUGGAAAUUCGGGCUGUUACAACUCUCCCCCACUAGGACUAGACUUCACCCUCAAAGUCUCACUCUGAAAAUAGCUCCGGAUGCUGCUCCCACAUCUCACGCUCCAGCCCACAGGUCAUUUUCGAUCCCCUCCGGUGCUGCCACUGAACUAACACCAGAGGUAUCUCCUUAUACCUCAGAACCUCGAUCUUCCGAUUUCUGAUGACCACUGGUCUCUCGGCAUAAUUCAGGCUCGCAUCCACCUGAAUGUCUUCUAAUGGGAUCACUGCCGACUCAUCGGCUAUAUACUUUCUCAAUUGCGACACAUGAAAAAUGUCGUGGAUUUGUCUCAAAUCCGUGGGCAACUCCAAACGGUAGGCCACCCGGCCUACCCCCGCAAUCACAUGAAAAGGCCCAAUAUACCGGGGCCCCAACUUGCCCCUCUUCCUGAAUCGAAUCACUCCUUUCCAAGGAGAGACCUUCAGGAGUACGAAGUCGCCGACCUGAAACUCAAGCUCGGACCGGCGUCUGUCUGCAUAACUUUUCUGUCGGCUCUGGGCGGUCAAUAACCUCUGUCUAAUCUGCUGAAUCUGCUCUGUCGACUGAAGCACGAUCUCUGUACUGCCCAUCACUCUCUGGAACCGAGAAUUACCCAAGAUGCAACUCUGCUCUAAAUCUCAACGAUCACUUGACCCAUAAGGGUUAGGAAACCAUGAACCACCGGAUCCCCGAUCCAAAGCCCACUUUGUCCAUUCCGGACCGACUGAGAGACCCAUUCUCACUCUCAGAGCAACUCUCACGAGUUCUCCUCUUGCAAUCACAUACACAUGCUGAACUAGCCCCAACACCCGCAGGUUGGAAGACCCGAUACACUGAUGAUAUCCUCGAACAUCUCCCAGGAUGAACCACUAAUAUCCACCCUAUACCCUGAUCAGAAUCACACUGAGAAUUCAAGAUUCUCUCUCCCCCUGCAUCCCUUCUGAGCCUCAACAGACAUCCCAAACCGGAUGAGUUCCUACUUCACUGCCGCGAACACGAUGCUCAAAACCAUACUCGAAAUACUCUAACCAUAACUCUGCUCUGCAGCUUUCACUUUCGUGAACUUGCACUCCCCUUCGGAGUUACACACCUUUCUCUUUUCUUUUUCCAAGGAACCCUCUUGACCAUAAUGCCACUCCAACCGGUGCCACGGUGCUCGCCCCAAGCGACACCACCCUUUUUGCGUAACCGCUAUUCACAUACUCUGGUUCUCAUUGCAGGGGCUCUCAAGCCCAUGCACUCUCUCCAUUCCACAAAAUCACUACCUCAACUAAACAAAAUCACUAACCCGGGGCCAGACCUUCCAAUGUAAUCACACUACAACAUACAAAAUCCAAAAUCUCAAACUGAUCCAACAAUACUAUCAGAGUCCCCAGCAUGACUGGACCGACUCUCAUAACACACACCAGCCACUCGAGGCUAUAUCUCGGUGGGUCCGUACACCCAAACUCUGUGAACCCUUAGGUUCCAACUCUGGGAACCUUCCGGUUCCAACUCUAGAAACAUGCUCAACAUAAAUCUCGUGGGAUUAAUGCAGUACAACCCAUCACAUACAUCAAGCAUACAAAUACUCUGAUCACAUAACCCCGGUUACUUACUUAAACUUGAUCCCGGCCUGCUCCCAGGCCUCCACAAUCAAUUGCCCUAGGUCUGUAUCCCGCCCCGCAUACCCGACACUCGCUCUUGUCAGCCUAUACUCUGAGCUGACAGAACACUGCUGAAUCCCAACAGCUAAGCACCCUCACAUACUCAUCGAUCUCCCGGAGAAUUCUCCAAUUCUCCCCCACUUAAAGCACUGACUAACAACCACCGAUCGCCAUUAACGACCUUCCAGAACAACCCCGCACAAAGAGAACACUUACACACUGACUGCUUCCCACAAGCAUAAGCAACCCUCAGCAAAACACAUCUCCUCCCUGAUCAAUCCGCUCAAAAGAAUCCGGCCUUUCAAUUUUCCACUCCACGACUACAGAUGCUACCCGAGAUUCAACCCAAUGCCGCAUCUCCGCUAUCAACCCUCACGAAUGAUAACCAAAGGAAUUCCCAAACAAUAACUCAUAACCAAACCCACAACUUGCAAAAGGAUGGAUACCGCAUCGAAAACCGCACAAUAAUAUCGGCACCAAAACACCAGACUAUAACCAUACCAAACCAUCAGGGAACAACGAAUGCCACAGCGAAAACCUGAAACACCAAUCCAUAACCAUGCCAAACCCGCGAAACAACGAAUACCGCAUCGAAAUCCACACAAGAUACCAGCACAAACAAUACGCCACAAUCAACGCAAGAUAAUCAAGACAUCAAGAAAGCAUCAUACCCGCAGCUGCCUCCGGCACUGCUCCGUCUCCCUCUGCCGCAAGCCGAUAAGCACGACCCUGAGCCCUUGGGGCUCCGCUCCAUCCUGUCCUCCUCCUGAACUCCUCAAGGUGGCCGGUGCUAGAGCCUGCACCGGUCCUGCAGAAAGCUGUGGACAGUUGACCCUCAAAUGUCCAACCUGCCGACAAUGAUAACAAAUCCUCAAAUCCCGAAUCGGCACUGACUGCCGACAAUCCCGCGCAUAGUGCCCCUCCUUUCCGCACUUGCGGCAUGCACCACCGGACCAGCAAACUCCGGUGUAAUCCCUCCCACACUUCCCACAAGUAUGGCCGCUCCAAUCUCCCAUUCUAACAUCAACGGUACUGGACCGUUUCGGCGCUGGCUGCGACUGCAUCGGAGCCUGCCUCAGCUCACGGAACUGCAAAUCAACCUCUAACUCACGCCGCAUGGUGGCCUCCUGUAACACCAACAAGGUCUCGCACCUCUGCGCAGACACGAACUGUCUGAUAUCCCCCUUGAGCAUACUCAGAUAUCGGGACAUCUGAGCCUGCUCCGAAGCGAACUCAGGGCAAAACAUCGCCCUCUCAAUAAACAUCCUGGUGAUCUCAGUCACCGACUCCGAAUCCUGCUUCAGCUCAAGGAACUCCCGAUCCAAUCUCUUCCUCUCAUCUCGCGGAACAUAGCGAGUACUGAACAUCUCUCGGAACUGAUCCCCUGAAACCGCAGCCCUCUGCGCGUCGGAAAAUGACCUCGCAGUCAAUCUCCACCAAUCCUUCGCUCCGAGCCUCAAUAGGUUCAGAGCACCCCUCACUCUCUGAUCAGUAGGGCAUAAACUCGUGGAGAAACACCCCUCCACGUCUGAUAACCAUCUCAUAGCAACAAUCGGGUCCUGAACUCCAUCGAAUGUGGGAGGCUUCGUAUAAUAGAAGUCCCGAUACUGAAAACUCCGACUAGCUCCUCCCCUUGCCGCUGCUACAGCCGUUGUAGCCGUCGCGGCAACCGUCUCUGCAAGAGCCGCAUAUCGCUCGUCGAAAUACUCAAUCAUAGCGGUCCUGAUCGACCCAAACAAUUCUGGCGACUCAGCCCGCAACAAUGCAGCAACCUCAUCACGCAGGAUCUCGCGAAUCCUCGCAUCCCGCUCGCUCGUGCUCGUCCGAUCGAUAACCUCCGACGGCACCGAUCCACCCGGAACUCGCUCUCCAGCUCCCGAUCCUGAUCCGGAUCCACUAUCAUCAUGCCUCGAAAUCUCCAUACUGAAGACACCCUACCAAUCUCAGACACUUCCCAAAAUCCUGGGAUCCAACUCUCGCAACCCUACCCUAGAGACCAUGGUUUCCCUGAUACGCGUAUGGGUCCUGUGCUUUCAGUAGUACGGGCCCAUACUACCUUCCACACCUACCCAUAUUUGUAUGAAGUACUACCACAAUACCCUAGAGAACAUGCAUAACAACUAUCAACCCUCACCACUAGAGGAACACUGAGAAUAUCCCAUAAGGGACCCUAGGCUACAGGCAUCACAAAUCAGGCAACAUUAUCAUGAAUUCCUGAAGAUCCCUAGCCUAACUCUAGCAUGCUGUUCUAUCAAGCUCAAAUAAACAAAUAUCAUGUAUGGUAUCUUGGGGUUACUUACUGGCUCCGGCUGAUCGUACCUCCGCGUCCUCCUUUUACUAAAUUUGAAAACCAUUUUAAUUUCUCUUUUUAAAAUCCUCCUCGAUUUGAGACUGGAGUCACACGAAUGUUUCCCCAAUUCACUCAAACCAAGGCUCUGAUACCAACUUGUAACAUCCAAAAUUUCAAAACAAUUAAAACUUUUCAAAAUCACCCAUUUUAUUAACGUUGUUACAAAAAGGUUUUCAAUACAUUAUUAAACAGAGUAAUUUCCCAGGUUCAUAUCAUAAAACACCAACGCGAGGAACGGUACGAUCACGCCUUUGCCUUGCCACAGACUCUUGAGAACCUGAAACAUAAAACCACAACUGUAAGCCCGAAAGCUUAGUGAGAUACCCCCAGAAUACCAACCACAUAUACGCCUUUCCAGGCCCUGACCUUCCGGUCCAUGUGUCUCAGGGGACUUCCGUCCCUGCUGGGUAAACCUUCCGGUCCUACCCACGCCGACCUUCCGGUCCAUCACACAACAUAAUCGCCUUCCGGCCCAUAACAUAUCGCCUUCCGGCCCAUAACAUAUCGCCUUCCGGCCCAUAACAUAUUGCCUUCCGGCCCAUAAGCAUAAAAUGCAUAUAUAACAUAACAAAUAAUCAUAUAGCAGUUCAUAGACAACAAUCGAUCAACAGAUCACAUAUCAUAGCAUUACUCUAAACAAGAUACCGGUCUAGCCGGUCACUAGCAUAACAUUACCCUACGAAUCAGUCAACAUACUAAAUGCAUACAUACGCCUUUCCAGGCCAUGACCUUCCGGUCCACAUAGCAAUGCCUUCCGGCCCAUAACAUGUAAUGACAACUACCCGGAUUUCCAUCCGAUAAAAGGGUCGGCCUUGGUGCCAUAAACCCUAGCGAUAUAGUGAGGAUAACUCACCUCGAAACUGCCGACUGAACAGAUAGCUCAAGCUGCUCCGAUCACUGAUACGAUCUCCACCUCUGGACAGCCACCAAUGCACUGAACUCAAACAAUAAACAACAAUUACCAAAAUACCCCUGGAACCACUGGUCAAUCCUUGGUCAAAGACAAGGUCAAAGUCAACCCCUGACUGACCCUACUCGCCGAGUCAACCCUAUGACUCGCCGAGUCCCCAUACUCAGAACUUCACUCAAUCCGCGAUCUAACUCGCCGAGUCACCCCAAGACUCGCCGAGUUCAACAACUCUGAGUCCACUCGCCCUUGACUCACCGAUUCUCUAAGAUUCCCUUUCUACACGUCGAGUAUCCCCCUUGACUCGACGAGUUACUCCUGGAAGAAUCGCGGGGCCACCCCGACUCAACUCGCCGAGUCUGAAGAACAACUCGACGAGUCCCAGUUAAUCUUCAAGCUACUCGCCGAGUCUGUUCAUCGGACUCGGCGAGUCCAUGCCAUGCAACCGCUCAAACUGCUUUCUAAGGUCAGAACUGCUCCGACCAUUCAUAGGUCUGGCCUUCCUAGACUGAUUCAUCACGUAAGAUCCUCAUUUCGGUGCUCAUAAUACACCCCAUGACUCAUAAUUUACAUUUUGACCUAAGGCAUAAGGAUUCCAAUCCAAAACCUCCAUUGACUCCCGAAAUGCUCAGGCAUGGGACAUUCUGGACUUCCAAAGGUCCCAAUACAGAGUUCCAACCGAUUGGGGGACUAUGGUAACACUCAAUCUAGCCACAAAAGGGUUCAAUAAACCCUAAAUCCAUAAACACAUCAACAUAGAAGGAUGCAACUUGAAAUAUUACCUGAAUAACGUGCUCUCUGUGUCCCCAAUCCUCAGAAUGUGGCUUCUCUUGUUGUUCCCUUAACCAAGCCUCCUCUUCCUUGCAAAACAACACUUCCAAAAUCAACAAUGGUCUUCUACCUUGCUCCAGAUGCUCACAAUCGAAUUAGGGCUUCACUCACAGGACUAGGGUGAACAAUGACGACCAUAAGGCCCCUUAUAUAUGUCCCCAAACCUGGACGGUUAGGGUUUCGCUAACCAGCGUGGACUCGUCGAGUCCAGUCGCGAACCCGCGACCAGAUCUGCGAUCCUACUCGGCGAGUCUGAGCUCCAACUCGCCGAGUCCCCUCUUAAAACACCCAAAAUCAUAAUUAUAGCAAUAUCUGGAAUUCCGGGCUGUUACAUUCUUAACAUGAAAUCUUUGGCAAAGUGGUUUUUGCCAUCGCAGAAGUUGCAAUCGUAUCCGAAGUCUCCUACCAGUUUGCUCUCCUUUUUCUCUUCUUCUUUCUGAGGAUUAUUUUUGAUCUCCUCUUUCACUUUCUCUGAGCUGUAGCUUCCCUGCCAGUUUCGGUUCUUGGCAAGAGGGAACUUUUUGCGAGAAAAUUGCUUUGGGAUGGAAAUCAUCAUUGCCUACUCUUCGUUUGUCAGAUCACAUUCUGAAAAUUCUAACUAUUCUUCAUCUUCUGCCAUAUUCUUCUCCUUAGAAAGAGGGGCCAAGUAUCCUAUACUAGACACCGCUUUGGAUUCCUUUGUCACAAAACUUUCAUGAGACUUGAGAAUACCCACCAUGUUUUCCAAUGAAUAGGU